rnacentral:rRNA from 1 species
UACAGAGGCCUCGAGCGUUAAUCGGAGUCACUGGGCUUAAAGGGUGCGUAGGCGGUUCUUCAAGUGUCUUGUGAAAUCCCACAGCUCAACUGUGGAAUUGCUCGAUAGACUGGAGAACUUGAGGUUGGUAGAGGUUACUGGAACUCUAGGUGGAGCGGUGAAAUGCCUAGAUAUCUAGAGGAACACCGAACGUGAAGACAGGUAACUGGGCCAAUUCUGACGCUGAGGCACGAAAGCGUGGGGAGCAAAC